GUAAUAAAUAUGUGCGUUUGUGAUGUCAACAAUGAGUAUGGUGCCUGUUUGGUCAUGCUGCCCAACCUGCCCAACAUGUGGCAGAAGAAACAGAUGUUGAAAAUGGCAAUCACCAAGGUCCAAAGAAGAGGCCCUCCUAUAAUUUUCUAGAGAAAACCUCCAGAUAUGGUCCCAAAAAAGUGUGGAGGAGACCAAGGAGACAUUUUCUCUGAUAGUAAGACAGAGAAGUUCUGAGAAAAAUAAUUGCUGGCUUGCCUGUCCUUUGCUUCUAAGAGAAUGGGGAGAUGCCACCUGCUUCCUGAUGCAAACAGAGUCUGUAGCCCAUACCUGAGGAAUACGCAAUACAACUUGCUGCCAUUUUUCUCAAAGGAAUUCACUCUUCCCCGGGGCUCUGCAGAUUGUGGAAGUAUCCAACUCCAGAAAACAUCUGUCCCACCAGCCCAGGCCAUGGAGCAAAAUGCGCAGGAAGAAAGUACAGCUCUGCUAUUCUGAGGCUGCAAGGGAUCCCAUUCAGAAAAUCACGUUCAGAAAAACAACAUCCAGAGAAACAAAAAGAAAUAUCCUUGCUUGUGGCCUUCUUUCCUGGUGUAGAAAUUUUCCUUAGAAACUGCCCCCAAAGGGACUUGCCUAUACAACUCAUCGCCUACAAUUGAGUCAUAUGCCACUGAGGAUGUAGGGACCCUUAGUCUCACCAGACCACCUUGAAAGGAUGAGAUUCCAUCUUCCUGAGGAAAACUCUGCAUGGGAGACCAGGAGGCAUGAAAACAAAAUCCACCCCUUCCUAGGAAGGAAGGAAGGACCAGGAAAUGCAACAGACUCUAUCUGGAGGUAUACAAUUCCCUUAGGGAUAUUUGUAAACAAAUACACUUAAUUUAAACGUUUAUUAAAUUAUCAAGUAAUUGAAAACCCAGUUUAUUUAUUUUUUUAUUGGAGUUCAAUUUGCCAACAUAUAGCAUAUCACCCAGUGCUCAUCCUGUCAAGU
rnacentral:lncRNA from 1 species